rnacentral:rRNA from 1 species
AGUGAACGCUGGCGGUAGGCCUAACACAUGCAAGUCGAACGGCAGCACAGUAAGAGCUUGCUCUUACGGGUGGCGAGUGGCGGACGGGUGAGGAAUACAUCGGAAUCUACUUUUUCGUGGGGGAUAACGUAGGGAAACUUACGCUAAUACCGCAUACGACCUACGGGUGAAAGCAGGGGAUCUUCGGACCUUGCGCGAUUGAAUGAGCCGAUGUCGGAUUAGCUAGUUGGCGGGGUAAAGGCCCACCAAGGCGACGAUCCGUAGCUGGUCUGAGAGGAUGGACAGCCAACACUGAACUGAGAAAAGGUCCCGAAUCCUAAGGGAGGCCGCAAGUGGGAAUAUUGGACAAUGGGCGCAAGCCUGAUCCAGUCAUACCGCGUGGGUGAAGAAGGCCUUCGGGUUGUAAAGCCCUUUUGUUGGGAAAGAAAAGCAGCAGGUUAAUACCCCGCUGUUCUGACGGUACCCAAAGAAUAAGCACCGGCUAACUUCGUG